rnacentral:ncRNA from 1 species
CCGUGACAAGGGCAAACCUGCCUAAAGGCCGGGACGCAAAGCCAUAGGGUCUAAGGUGCUUAAAGCGCUAUGACAGCCUGGUUGCCGCA